CUGCUGUGCGACACCUGCUAGCAGCCCUCUGCCCGUGCGCAGUACCUCCUGCGCUACCCCAGGAUCUCCAGCAUCCGUACCUCUGCAGCGAGGCAAGAGGAUCAGGAAUUCAAAGCCAGCCUGAGCUCUCUGAGACUCUCUCAAAACGAAAACAAUCCUACCACUUAAUGGAAAACAGCGACUGCCUAAUCCCCAAGAUCAACAGCAAAGACAUUAGCUCUCAACUCUUCUUCAUCACUGUGUUAGCAGUCCUAGACAGUGCAACAAGGUAACAAAAGAAACAAAAGGCACAAAGACUAUAUUGUUGCCAGUGACUCCAUCUUGCUUGAUUCCGGUUCUUCUUAUUCUCAGGAUCUGACCCUGGCACCGUCUUCAGAGCACAAGCUUCAUGGAGGUCCUCAAAAAAUGCAAAAUCCCUAGAAGUGAUGAGAUACUUAAAGUCAUCUGGAAAGUGGGUGAGGCACACUUUUGGGUAAGUCUGGGAGGGCAUUUCAAGAGAUGAUUGCCUGAGGGGAAGGUCAACUGUGAACAUGAAGGAUGUUAUCCAAAUGACCUGGAAACCUGGACCAGACAGCUGAGAAAGGAACCAGCUAGCUGAGCACUGGCCUACCCCUUUCUCUUAACAGGGGCUGUGUGGCCUGACAAAUGAAAACUUCUAAGUAGCUCAUCGUGUGUGUGUGUGUGUGUGUGUGUGUGUGUGUGUGUGUGUGUGUGUGUGUAUUUGUGUAUUCAUGUAUUCGUGUAUUCCUGCAUGUCUGAUGUGUGUAAGUGCAUGCAUCAGAGUCAACAUAGGUGUCUUCCUCAGUCUCUCUUUCUGCUGUUUUUUGAGGUAGGGUAGGUCUUCAAACCCAGAGCUAGUUAAUUCAGUGAGUCUGGCUAGCCAGACAGAGCUUCAUGGGUCUUCCUGUGUCCAUCUCCUGGGGAUUACAGGUGUGUGCACUGUGCUUGUUCUGUGUGGGUAUUGGGGGCCCAAACAAGCACUUUACUGACUGGGCCAGCUCUCCAGACUCCAGUGACAUAAAAUUUGGGACACUAGGGAAGCUCUGGUGAAUAAGACAGAAGUCAGGGCCCAGGAGCUUCUCUCCUGAAGUCUCUGUGUGUGAGGGAAGAGUCCUUUUGGAGUGGGAUCUGUUCCUGCUUCUAGAAUUUCCCCUCUUCCUCCUCUUAUAGCCAGCAGCCAGGAGUGAGCCCUUGAGCCCGUAAGGUCCCACAUUCCAUCUGGAAUGUUCUCUGGCCAUCAGGUGUCCUUUCUGGGAGCAUGUCCCCUCUCGCUGGUAGGAUGAGUGUGCUCUUCACCUAGAGUCUGAUUCAUUGUUUUGUUUUUCUUCUCAGGAACAAGCUGUUCCCACAAGGACAGGUGCCAAAUCUUGUUUGCUGGGUGGGGGAAGCCACCACACUGCUCUGGAGGGACACAUGUGGCUCUGGAAGCUGUUUCUAAAGACCUGUAAACAGAGAAGGAGCUGCUUGGGAGUCUGUGACACCCCUGGGAUCCCAUGAUGGCCGACCUGAAGGCUUUCUGUGAGAGUCCUGUGAGUCCUCAGCUGAGUGCUCUCUGGAACCAGGAUACCUGUGUCACGUGGAUGGUGUCGGCAGGACACUCUGUCCUUGGCCUGACAAGCUAGCAAGAUGAUUUGCACUCAGCUAGCGCCACCCCCCCAUCAGCAGAGGCAGCGUUGAUGGUGGCUAAGAAAAGAUUUGGAACUUGUGUAAGAUUGCUCUAGCACUUUGCCACUGGUCACCUCUCCGCACCUUAGCUUCCUGCACUUUUUAAGAUGUGGCAGUCAUCACCCCACCUCAUAAAGUCUUCAGGAGAAUUCAACGGUUUCAUGUUCUAAUGCACCUAGGAUGAAGGAGAGCCAUUCUGUGAAGGGCCCUGGCUCUCUGCUAUCUCCGUUCCCAGGGCAUCCUAUUCAUGGGCUCCCUGGCAUCUUGGCUGUCUUGUUCUUAGGUACAGGACAGCACUACUGUAAAAGCCGGAGUCUGCAUACUACUGAGUUGAGCACCCAGCUCCUAGUGGGCUCUGGAUAAAUAAUGGAUAAACGAGUCAAUGAUUGACACUCAGCCAGUCAACAGGCUCUUCCUGGAAAGGGGAAUCCCAGGGAAGCACCCUUCCCUGUUAAUUCCUGAUGGCCUUCCAAAGCUGGAGGCUCAUUUCCCAUACUGGUUCAUCCUGGCCUUGGGUGUGGCUGGGAGUCUGCAGGGUCUUAGAGCAAGGUUCCUGGGAGAACAGGGCAGUAUGUGAGGUGCAAGGGCUUCAAAGACCAGGAUGUGGAGGGAGGCCAGCUUCCAGAGGACACAGGCUUCCAGAGGUCAGGACAGAAGCCACUUCGAAGUGCUCUCCAAGUGCUGCUUGGAAAAGGGAGUCCAGUUCGGAAGGAGCCAAGGGUUGGGAUUCUGUGUGUUAGACAAAUACUCUACCACUGAACUGUAUUUCCAGCCCAUAAGUUCAUUCAUUCAUUCAUUCAUUCAUUCAACAAACACAUACUGAGGUUCUAAGCUGGUCAACAAUGCAUCAGACAUAGACUUUGCCCUGAAAGAUCCCAGUUUGGGGCCAGGGUCAGACAAGAGAGGCAGACAGAUAAUUACAAGCAACAGGCAGGCGGAGGCUGAGUCUGAAUCACAGGUAAGGGUGUGAAGAGAUCCCAACCAUGACUUCCUGAUAGAGGAGAGGUGGGGCUCUGGGUCAAGAGGCUUCUGGAAAGGGUAAUGCCUGAACGGAGAGUGGAAGAAUGAAAAGCACUUGGUUGUGGUGGGGGGAUGGGAAGAACAUUCUAGAAAGAGGAGAACAGGGUGAAGACCCAAAGACAGGGAAGUGUGUGUGUGUGGAAUUGGGCAGAUGAUAUGUUAAAUGAGAGGCAUGGGCUACAGGCAUGAACGAUGCUGAGGAAGUUAAGGAUUCUGGGUAAGGCUGUGAUUUAACUCAGUGGCAGAGCAUUUGCUUAGCACGUGCAAGGCCAUGAGUUCAAUCCUCAAUAAAUUAAAUGGAGGCCGUAUGCUCUUUCUGAUUUGUUUUGUGUUGAGGCAGUCUUCAUUGGCUCUCACCAGGAAUCCACUGGUCCUGAGGACCUCUGUGAGCUUGAUGACUUUCUUCUCCAUCCCAUGGCCUGGUACUGCCAGCCAGCCUCAUAAGUCACAUGCCCCAGAUGAACAAACUUUCUGGUUAGGCUUCACCUGCACAACCUUGAGGAGAGCAGGGACCACCAGCCACUCUUUCUUGUCACUCGGGGAGGGAUCUCAUCUAAGAUCUUGAGGCAUUCCAGGGCAGUCUGGCCUUGCUUGGUCUUGCAGGGCACCAUGCCUCGCACUGCUCGCCAAAAACUGCAGGGCCCCUAAGUGGUAGGAUAUCUGGGAAGGGUUGGUGUUUGUCUGCUGUGGAGAAAGGCCGGGUACUUUGUUUUGUUGAUAUACUCCAAUGCACAACAACCACCUUCUGACCACAACGGCCACCAGGCAGCUCAGAAGAUAGUGUUGGUCGUCCAGCACUAGAACUGCCCCUCCGCCGUCUUUGUUAAAGGGGCUUGCUGCUUUACAUAAUGCUAAGUCAGGAAACUACAGCCGCCUCUGCCUCCUCCAACAGCAGGUGCACGCCCCAGCUGGCUUCCACACAGAGGAUGCUAGAAGCUUCUUGGGCAAUCCGCCUAAGAUUGGUUCUACUUCACGCAGAGUUGAAUCCAGGUACCCAUGUGGAUACCAGUGAGUGUCCCCCAGGCUGGUGGAUAAAGGGGACCACUGCCAAGCCUAACAACCCAGUUUCGAUCCCUAAAAUCCACAUGACAUGGGAGAGAACUGACUCCGACAAGUUGUCCUCUGACCUCCACGUGUACACCAUAGUAUGUAUACACCCAUGGAUUCUCAAGUGCGCACACACACACACACACACACACACACACACACACACACACACACACACACUCGGAGGGAUGGUGCUUGCCAUUCUAUCCAGAAAGCUUGUUGAUAAUGGAUCCAGUCAGUGCCACUUUCUAGGCUGUUCAGACAUGGCCCUGAGGUUGUUUUGGACUGGGUCACUAUUUGUCUCCAAUGACCAUGGUGAUGAUUGACAAGGCUUGAGGAGUGAGCUGCUCUUAGAGGCAAGGGUGGGGCAGCUGUGUGAAUGGAUAGGGCUGGUGAGUUUUUUCCCUAAAGUAAGACGGGGUGCUGCGAUCAGAGGGCAGUGGGUGCUGGCUGGGGAAAACAGGGCUGUCCAGUGAGACUCUUAUCUUAUUCCAUUUGUCUGAAUCAUACAGAAUAGAAACUGUUGAUAGUGAUGGGGGGUUCUGCUCAAUGAGGAUAGGCUUUCCUUUAGGGGUGAUGAUUUCUUGAGACUAGAUGGGGUGAUGGUUUGCACAAUGCUGUGAAUUACAUCAAAUGCAACUUAAUUGUUCACCCUGUGGGUUUUUCU